GUAGCAUAAUCAUUAGUCUAUUAAUUAUAGAAUAGUAUGAAUGGCCCAACGAAUUUACUAGUCGCUUCGCUAGUCCAAUAAAACCUACAAAUAGAGUAAAAAUGCCCUUCUCAAAAAAAAGACGACAAGACCCUAAUAAACUUAACUCCUGUUUAACUGGGGCAGUACAGUAACAACUAUUUACCUCAGCACCUUCAAUACCCCUUAAAAAAUCAAUUAAAGUUACUAUAGGGAUAACAGCAUAAUUUGUAUUUCAAGCCCUUAUCUAAAUACAAGAUUAUGACCUCGAUGUUGAAUUAAAUUACUUUAAUAAGCAAAACUAUUAAAAGUGGGUCUGUUCGACCUUUAAAAUUUUACAUGAUUUGAGUUCAGACCGGCUUCAGCCAGGUCGGAUUCUAUCUUUUUUAACUAACUAGCAGUACGAAAGGACCCCAGCUAGUUUUCUCUAAUUAGCAAAUAAAUGCCUUAAAUUUAGAAUUUAAUUAUCCCUUCAUACCCCUGACCCUACACACCCCUUUCAACACGCUACUUUCUUUAGUCUCACUCCUAAUCAGCGUUGCCUUCUACACCCUUCUAGAACGAAAAAUCUUAAGCUACAUCCAAAUUCGUAAAGGACCAAAUAAAAUUGGUAUCGUAGGCCUCCUUCAACCCUUCAGUGACGCCCUAAAACUCUUCAACAAAUUUACUCCCCUAAUCACUCUAACAAAUAUCUCUAUGUUCCUUGCAUCCCCCUUCAUAAUUAUGCUCCUAAGCCUAUCCCUAUGACCACCCCUACCACUAACACAAUUUAACUUGCUAGAUGCCCCUCUCAACACCCUCAUUCUCCUUCUCAUCUCUAGCAUCAGUGUCUACGCAAUUU
rnacentral:rRNA from 1 species